GACAGCUUCCACACCAGUGGGAAAGCAGAAAUUCGGUGAGAAACAGAAGUUCCCUCACACUGCCUUGUGUCAGUUCCUCAAACCUAAAUCGAAAGUCAGCAGGGUGGCAUAAAAAAUCUCGCCAAACUGGAAAUCAAGAGAUUGGGCUGCAUCCUUGAUUUGUCGCUGGCAUGGGAAAAGCCACCUCUUCUUCAGUCACCUGCGGAGGUUGUGACCCGGCUCUCAUUGUUGAAGAACUAGGCACUGGCUCCAGUCAUUGGCUUCUCUCUCCUCUGCAGGUCAUGGGUAAGUCC
rnacentral:lncRNA from 1 species